UCCAGGCUCCUCAUGUUCUCAGUUCUCUUUCUCCUGCUCCUGCCAUUGGUGCUGGGAAGUCACCAUCCCUCUGAAGGCAAGGUGCUGGUUGUGACAGAGGAGAGGUGGCGACUCUGUGGCACCGUGGCUCUGGACCCCAAGGACCCUCAGUGGAGCUGCUGCAGAAAAUUCUACCCCUUCCAUCGCCCCACACAGAGGUGCUGCCAAGCCUUCGACCCAAAAGUAUUCUUCGUCAUCCCCAUGGACAGCAAAAAGGAGGAAGCUGACGACUGCAAGACGUACAUCCAGGGGGCCCUAGGUAGGUGCUGGCCCCACCGGCAGCUCCCUCUUCUGGUCCUCCAGUGCUUGGGAGCCACGGAGACCCUUUCUUCUCUCCCUCUUUUUACUUUGAUGAAAAAUAAUUUGUGCUAUUAACAGGCUAGUAAUGUGGGUCUUAUUGUCGCUUCUUAUUGAUUGAUUAAAUGUUAAAUAAGUGUUACAGCAACAGAAGAGAACAAGCGCAAUGUCCUUUCAGAGAAGCAGCAUCUCCAAGGUCCAAAAGUGAACCUCAAGAGAGAGUUUGCUCCACCGGCCCGCGGUGUAGGAGGAGAUCCAGGGGUGGCGUGCUAACCCAUGGUCACACGCAGUAUUCCACCUUGCAGGGCAGCCAGGCAGCCCACAGAAGCACGGAGGAAAAUUGACAGAGGCAUCGGUGGCAGACCCCUUGAAACCAACCGGAUGCCAUGGGGGUGACUCUCUGAGCCCAAGACUUUAGAGACACCGCCAGAGUGUUUGCUGAGUUUUCCACAGUGAGCCUGCUAUGCCUUGAAAUAUGUGGAAAACAAUGACUGGGAAACAAAGAAAUGGCCGGAAUGGAAUUGCCUCCUGUCCCGACUUCGCUGUCUCCCACCUAUCUGCUCAGUGCCUUC